GGGGGCUUAUGAUGUGUCGCCACUACCUGGAGUCACUUUGUCGCCGUGACCAUUACCAUUGCCUAACAAGGUGACUUUCCUAUUGCACAUCACAAUUUCUGGUGACACAUAUGUGAAGUUUGUUGCAGAUUUUUGAAGUGAAGGAAAAUAUGGACACAACCAACAUGCCGGUUACUUCACUUUCUCUAUUCCACCUUUUAUAAUUAGAAACUUUUUGUAGAGAUCUAUCCAUCUAUGGAAGGAUCAGAAUGAAUGGUAGAAGGAGGUGUUGUCCGCAUACAAUCAAAUAGAAGGGUCGAGAAUUGUUUUAUGGUCUUUUUGUUUGCGGGGGUCCUUUCCUUGUGGAUGCCUGUUCCAUGAUUUCUUUGCCUUUCGUCUUGCCCGCUGACUUGUUUAUGUUGCCUCUGUGUUCUGUCUUUGCAUGUUUGGCGCCUUGUUGGGAUUGUCGUGUCGGUUCGCUGUGGCUGCUCCCGUUCGUCUGUUGUCCGGUUACGUUCUUGGGUCAGGAUUAAAAUUUGUCGACAAUUCUUUUCGUCUAGCAAAUGCAUCCUACUUACUAAUGGUGGCCCAGAUUACUGUGUGUCCAUAAGCUAUGUUUGUAAGACCAGCCAAUGGGACUGCACCAGCUGCCAAUAAGUGUGUCGUUGCACCCGAUGAAUUGGUAUAUAGC